AGUCUGUAUGUCCUGUGGCGCUUAGAAAGUCGUCUGCAAACAGCAUCAUCAAACCCUACAGAGCCGGCCUGGACCUCAGGGUGUUAGACGACGAGGACCUAGAUAGGCUAGAACAGAUGGAAGAUUCAGAAGGAACAGUGAGACAGAUCGGAGCGUUUUCUGAAGGCAUCAAUAACCUGACACACAUGCUGAAAGAAGACGACAUGUUCAAGGAUUACUCAGCCCGAUCCCCCAGCGCCAGUAUUACAGAUGACGACUCCAACGUGUGACGCAGUCCAGACGCCAUUUAUAAGAUUUUUAUCUCAUGUGUUAAAAAAAAUGAUUCUAUAAAUAUAAUAUUUUUUUGCAUCACUGUUUUUACGCUCAGUGUUCCGGGGGGGGGGGGGGGGGGUGGGGCACGAAUGUGCCUUGUAAAGUGACAAUAAAUAUGGAAGCCAGAUGUUUGGGGCUAAUCCAACAUGGCUGCCGCCAGUGUGUGGACACUUGAAGUCAUUGAGCUCUAUGGAAUAGGAUCUGGGACAGGUAUUAGUCAGUGACUAAUAUGUUAUAGUGACCCCUGCAGGCGGCAGUGUGUGUGAACAGUGCUGGGUUAUGUGUGAAGCACAAUAAAUGUGUCCCCUGUUUUGGGGACGCUGGCCCUUUAAGAUACUGGAGCAUUAUUUUGGGGGUUUUCUCUCUUCUCCAUCCACCCCGCCAUUGUCAUUUUUGAUAUUCACGAUUUUUCGCGCUGUUACUUUUUAUACAAAAAUUUCUAUUUAAAACUCGCACAAAAAAGAAACCAUUUUAUGAAGAGACCAUAGCUAUAGUUUUCUACGCCAAUAUUUUCAGUUUACGUGCCAGCUGGGUUCUGGAGGGGGGGGGGGGGGGGGGGGGGUCCAGGUCCAGGUUUAAAAUUAAGCAAUAUCCCAGCAGGGGGCGACUCAGGGGCUGCAGUUACUGAGGAUGUUUUUGUUUUUUCUCUUAAAGGAGAAGCGCUCUCUUAUUGUAGCUUCCAUUUAAAGGGCCAGCGGCCUGGUGUGGUUCCUUCUGAUAUUUAUGCUUCUUGUUUUGUAUGUUAUUUAUGAUCGUGUUCUGUAGGGGGCGCGCGGCGCGGCUGACGGGUGAUGUGUAAGGGAGGGGGGCGGUCCCGGGGCCCCCCCUGGGGGUUAUCGUAACACUAUAAAGUGGACUGUAUAAUGUACCAGAGCACAGAUGUUAUGUCGUCUAUAUAUGUGAUCUAAUAAAAGCUUAUUGUUUACCUACCGGGUGUUCUCCGCUUUC